UCGCUGCCUUUGAUAUCCCACAAUCCUGUGCGUUCCAUUCUGUGACAGUUAAGCCAAAAAAUAAAGAUGGCGUCUGAAAGUUGUGGUCGGUGGUCAGUUUGUGAGUAAAUCAUCAUUCUGCUUUUGCUUCAGACUGACAAUGAUCCUGAUGACCCUGAAAUUCUGAGUAGUCCAGCACCUUCAUUGUGCAAUUUGUGAAGGUUGUCAGUGCUGUUGUUCUGUCCUGAUGACCAUUUGUGGGAUUGGACGGAGGCAGCCGUGCCUGACUUGGGGGCUG
ensembl:lncRNA